GGAUACUGCGGAGCAACACAGAGCCUGGGCGAGCUUGGCGCUCUGUCAUACUUCCGAUCACGUGAGGCGAACGGAAUCGGCGUUUGUCACGUGGUCCUAUCUGGGCUCGUUUUAAGUGGGAGGAAUUCAGUUCCUCCUUCCGUUCCUUUUGUGGGUGCGCGUGAGGGAGCUGGGGAGCGGUCAGCGGCCCACGAGGUAAUGAGGAUAGAGUCAGCAGUUACAAUUUGUUUCUAAUGGGUAUUACAAGUUUCCUGUUGAGUCUGCUAUGGUAUUCCUUUGUAACCAGCAAGCUGUCAUGUGAACUGUUAAAUAAAUAAGGCUAUAAGCAUUGGCCUCAGAGAUUUUGUUGCUCAGUCCAGAAAUCCCUGUAUCCUGAGAUGGGCUUUCAAAUGCUGCUUACCUGAAGCCUGACAGCUCUCACCUGAACUGCUGAGUGAGAAAUACCUUCGUUGUGUGACUUGCUGAGCUCGGAUACAUUCAGAAAUGCCAUGUUCUUGACUUUUGUCCUACUCUUUGCAGCCAGUAAGAUGUUGUUUCACUUCUUCUCUUAAGAACAAGAACUUAUUCAACCGUGGUGUUUAAAUAUAUGUUGUCUAAUGUGCAGUUAAUUUGCAGCUACCAAGAAGUCAUACAGUUUUCAAGGGCCGGCACCAGCGAAGGAAGCAGGUGCUGCAACAGUCCGUCCAUAGUUGGGGCAGUUGUCCGGCUCAGUGGCGGCAGUUCGGUGACAGGUCCUUCGGCAGCAGCUCAAUCGCUCCUCUUCAGACUUCAGCAUGCCAGAGGGAUCUGCAAGGAGCUCAUUGCAGGAUCAGGACUCAUGACAAGAAAUUCUCAAUAUCCAGGUCCACAGAUUCUUCACUGGAUCUUCAGGUCCCCUGCAAACUUAAGGAGGUGGGACCAGACCAGUCAUCAUAGACCUAGAGUUAAGCUCUGCACCAGAAGCGCCUAUUUCCUAUUCUCUUCUGCAUCCAGAUCCACAGAUCCCACAGUGUGAUUUUCACAGGAUGCAGCACAAUCAGGAAAAGUGACUUAGUUUAAACACUCAAAUAUUUACAAAUUUUUUAAUUUAAAAAAAUAUAUUUUUACUAAGACUUUACACAUGUAGCACCUUCCAGUUAAAUGUGGUUUAGACUGAAGAUUGCUAGUCCAGUUUGUACAUCUGUCUAGUUUGCUUCCUUUCAGAUCUCAUCUCCACAGAAAUUCAUUGUGAUGGAAUUCACCCUUGUGUUCAAACCUCACACACUAUUGUAAUAAUCUUUGUAUAAGGCAUGCUUCAUGUGGUCUCAUUAGAAAACUCCUAAUUUGAUGAUCAGUGAUAUGGUAAAAUGUGUGUAGCAGCUUUAUGCAUUAAGUUAUAAAUUUUCUCUGCUUGAUGUUAAAAAUACACGUGCAGACUCACAUAUCACCAAACUGGUCAAACAGAUGUGUUUUGAACAAAGUGUAUGCUUGUCUUAAUUGGCAUUAACACAGUAAACAGAGUCAUCAACCAGAAAAGGGGAAAGGAGAAAACAAAGAGAGCUCACACAGUGAAAAAGCUCAGCAGGGAACAGCCUUCCACCAGUAGACUGCCUGUCUCCUGGUUCUCAGCUGGAAAUGCUUUUCAAAGAGGGACUAAAACACUAUAAAAAGGCAGGGCAAACACUCCAAUACACCUCUCUCUUCCCCUGCCCAAUGUAUUCUCUGUACCUUAAAAGGCAACGGCAACAACUGUUGGAUGUUAGCGGCCUUGUUCUGAUCUGAAGAGUUUGGUCAGUAAUGCUGCUGGAAGCAUGUGUUGAGAAACUAUGCUUGAAUCUAAUAUAGUUUAUUAAAUUAGGCAUUAGAAAGUGUUUUAUCUUUAUUUUUCUUGUA